AGCGGUAGUUCAGUCGGUUAGAAUACCGGCCUGUCACGCCGGGGGUCGCGGGUUCGAGUCCCGUCC
rnacentral:tRNA from 1 species